AAAAUAUUUCAGAUAGGCAAACAAAUUUUUCAUAUUAAAAAAAUUUAGAAAAUUAAGUAGGUAAAAAUUACCAAAAGAUAAACAAUAUCUUCAAAUCUCCUUCCAUGAUUUAUGUGAGUUUGUUUCUUUGUUUUUGCUAGGGGCCUACAGCAUGUGGAAGGAAGUUCUAGGGCCAGGGAUUGAAUCCAUGACCCAGCUGUGCCCUGCAACACAGCUGCAGCAACCCUGGUUCCUUAGCCCACUGCACCACACGGGUACUUCCUUAUUUGCAUUUUUGAAAUGGAAAAUCACGUAGAGGUACAAUUAGUGAGCGUUAUUAUGUGCCUGACACUUUUCUUAUUUUAAAUCCCUGCUUGUAUCCUCCUUACAACUCUGAGCAGUGAAGGUCUGUUAUUGGCUGUGGGAGCUGAGGCUUAGAGAGGUGAGAUUACUUGCUGGGGCCACACAGCUCUUUACUAGAGAAUGAACCCAGUCUGAUUCCAGAAUUAAAGCGCUGGACUCCAGGGUUUUAUUGCUUUUUCUUUAAGGUUUUUGUUUGAAUUUCUUUUAUUAAUCAUUUCAGCAUACCUUGAGAUCCCUUCCUUUGAAGGGCUUUUAACUCAAAUUGAGGUCUCUCUUCAUUGCAAUGAUGGUUGAGCCUCCAUGUAAUUGUUCUGCUAUAAACAGAUUAACAUGCUUAUGUCCUAGUGCCUGCUGAAGGCAACAUAAAGAUACACUCAUGCAUUCAUUCAUUCAUUGACUUGUUCAUUUGUUCUCUUGGUAAGUAUUACACUGUCAGGUAGGUUCAAGGUACUAUUUCCCUCAGUGGGUGUAUAGCAGUGGACAGAACCAUUCCCUGGUCUUAUGAGGCUUUCAUUCUAGUAGAGAAGUCAGAAACCAAAUAGGUAUACAAUGUGUCUUAACGGUGGUGAGUGGUAUAGAGAAAGUAAAUCAGGGUCAGGAAAUGGUGAGUGUAAGUGAGGGAUGUGCAUUUUUUACAUUAAAGAAGAAAAGAACAGUAUGACCUGAAGCUGGGCAUCAGGAAAUAUGGGGGAAGAGCAUUCCAGGAAGAGAACAGCAAGUGCAAAGGCCCUGUGGUGAGAGCCUCUUCAUUAAAAAAAAAAAAAAAAAAAAAAGCCCAUCGUUCCUGUGAAUCUGUGCUUACAUAUUCCUUCCUGAUUGGAUUAUCAUCCAUAUCUCUGAAGAGAAUAUCAGUGUCAAUCUGUAUUAAAUGAGAAAGUGCCAGAUAAUUUAAUCAUGGCCCUUCUGGUUCCAAAGAUUCAGUAAACAUGGAACAUAGCCCAAAAGAUCUGUUCAGUGAUUCUGCCUCUAACAUACAUCCCUUUGUAGCCAACUGUGUGGUUUAUUUUUAGUGGGCUAUAGUCUUAUCCUAGAUAUUGGAAAUCAAGUUUCUAAAAUGUUCUUCUCCUGUGCGGUGGUUAUAAGAGAAUGAGACUCUGGUAUCCUUGUCUCUGGUUACCCAUUUAGAGCAAAUAAAAAGGAUUGACUGUGUGAUUUGAAAAUGAGUAACUGUUGCAUCAUGGCAGAGUAAAACAUCCUUGAACUGUUUUAAUCUCUCAUGUAAAAGAUUCCAUAUCCUUCAAUAAAGUGAUAGCAGAUGCCCUAUUAGUAAAAUGUACUUUGCAAUAGCAUUGCCAAUUGUUGAUAUCAAUCAAUUGGAAAUUAUAUUUUCUUAAGGAGAAGUCAUCUGAAAUCCACAAUUUCUUGCUGGACAUUCAUAGCACAAUGUAUAUUUAAAGCUCUUGUGAAUGUGCACGUGGUGACGCUUCUGAGAAAGCCUGAUUAACUGGUUUUCAGCUUGCCAGAUUAUUAUUUUAAAACUACUUCUAGUUAAGGAGAAUAUAAAGGCAUCAGAAACCCACUCAGAGCGGUUCAUUUCUGAUAUCCCUCCACACGGAAUAAACAAUACAACCGAUUUGAGUCUGAAUUGUCCCCGAAAUAUUUCCUUUCUGCUUGGCAGCCCUGUGCAGGAAAUUUCCGCCUGUUGCAAACUGAAAGUCUUGAAGUUGCCAGCCCCCCUGGAGAAAGGUUCUGAUAACAGGGACGUUGUCAGAACCCUUAGCUCUGCUGCACACUGCCGGGAGCCUCUGGAAUAACAGGGAAGGAGCUCUUGGCAGCGGUGAGGGGCCCUGCUCAAGUCCUCUCUCCUGAUGAGGAAGGAAAAGGACAGUGAUCAAGCAGAGGGUCGCAUAGGAGGUCUUAGAUCACCCUGUAACAUGAAGAAUGAAUGCAUACAGGCUGCCAGGGAAGCAGUCAGAAAGCUUCCGAAUUGUCCAGAGACUGGUAAUUCUUGUGUGAACACCCAGGUGACAGGGGACCUACCUAUUCCUUAUGGAUCAGACAGGACCCAAGUUCACUGAAGCUAAUAGGAAAUGCUGAAAUGGAGAUGUUUUUGGUCUCUAUUUUUAAAGCAAGAAAAUGUAUAUAUAUGUAUGUAUAUGUAUACACACACACACACACACACACACACACACACAUCUUCUGCAUCUUACAACCCUGCUAUCACAUAUGGCCUUUGCGGACAGAGUAUUGUGUGUUGUUUAGUCUUGGAACUUCUUUUAAAGAUAGGAUGUCAUUUACAAUCUUCGGGCCAUAUGUUUACUCAGACUUAAGAAACACGGGCUAAUCUUUUUCUAUUUUGAGGAGUAAUAAAUUGAAAAGAUAAUUACAUAAUAUGGUGCAUAAUGUAACUCUGGCUUGAGCCAUAUGUGUUUAAUUUUAGAGAAACAUGCGUGAUGACAGGUUAUGAAAGGAUGAAACUAUUUUAGUCAUUUUAAGGAUUAGAAGCAUGAUUUAAAAAAAAAAAUAAGUGUCCCUUAUUGCUCCCCACCCCCUCAGAAAAAACAACCCCAUACACAAACCCAGUGCAGAACACCCUUCUGAAAGCAACUUGUUUCUGUGGUGGCCACUGGCAAAGAAAAUUCAAGUUAGAGGGCGCAUUAUUUCCAAGCUCUUGUAAAAUUAGAUGCAGGCUUCUGUGUGCUGGGAAACGGGUGGCAUGUUGUUCCUCAUGUAGGGGCAGAGUGGAGUUGCUGCAUUUCAAAUCAAGUAGAAAUUUCUCACGUGAAUAUCCAAUUAGAACACACACCGGGAGUUCCCGUCGUGGCGCAGUGGUUAACGAAUCCGACUAGGAACCAUGAGGUUGCGGGUUCGGUCCCUGCCCUUGCUCAGUGGGUUAACAAUCCGGCGUUGCCGUGAGCUGUGCUGUAGGUUGCAGAUGUGGCUCGGAUCCCACGUUGCUGUGGCUCUGGUGUAGGCCAGUGGCUACAGCUCCGAUUCAACCCCUAGCCUGGGAACCUCCAUAUGCCGCGGGAGCAGCCCAA
rnacentral:lncRNA from 1 species